rnacentral:rRNA from 1 species
GGGGACGGACGUCAAGUCAUCAUGGCCCUUAUGCCUGGGGCGACACACGUGCUACAAUGGUAUGUACAGAGAGACGCAAUACGGCGACGUGGAGCAAAUCUCUAAAACAUAUCUCAGUUCGGAUUGUAGUCUGCAACUCGACUACAUGAAGCUGGAAUCGCUAGUAAUCGCGGAUCAGCCAUGCCGCGGUGAAUACGUUCCCGGGUCUU